rnacentral:rRNA from 1 species
AACGAACGCUGGCGGCAGGCCUAACACAUGCAAGUCGAACGGGCAUCUUCGGAUGUCAGUGGCAGACGGGCGAGUAACACGGGGAAACGUACCCUUGGGUUCGGAAUAACUCAGGGAAACUUGAGCUAAUACCGGAUACGCCCUUGUGGGGAAAGGUUUACUGCCUGAGGAUCGGCCCGCGUCUGAUUAGCUUGUUGGUGGGGUAACGGCCUACCAAGGCGACGAUCAGUAGCUGGUCUGAGAGGAUGAUCAGCCACACUGGGACUGAGACACGGCCCAGACUCCUACGGGAGGCAGCAGUGGGGAAUAUUGGACAAUGGGCGCAAGCCUGAUCCAGCCAUGCCGCGUGAGUGAUGAAGGCCUUAGGGUUGUAAAGCUCUUUUAUCCGGGACGAUAAUGACGGUACCGGAAGAAUAAGCCCCGGCUAACUUCGUG